rfam:Felis catus isolate Cinnamon breed Abyssinian chromosome A3, whole genome shotgun sequence.
UCCUGGCUGGCUCAGUUGGGGGAGCAUGUGACUUUUGAUCUUGGGGUCAUGGGUUUGAGCCCCAUGUUGGGUG